UACGGAGGGGGCUAGCGUUGUUCGGAAUUACUGGGCGUAAAGCGCGCGUAGGCGGCUUUGUAAGUCAGAGGUGAAAUCCCGGGGCUCAACUCCGGAACUGCCUUUGAAACUGCAUCGCUUGAAUCCGGGAGAGGUGAGUGGAAUUCCGAGUGUAGAGGUGAAAUUCGUAGAUAUUCGGAAGAACACCAGUGGCGAAGGCGGCUCACUGGACCGGCAUUGACGCUGAGGUGCGAAAGCGUGGG
rnacentral:rRNA from 1 species